rnacentral:rRNA from 1 species
CGUAACAAGGUUUCCGUAGGUGAACCUGCGGAAGGAUCAUUAUUGAUUGGUCGAAAGACCUUAUCAGAUUCUACCACCUCUGUGAACCGUUGACCUCCGGGUUAAUAAUCAAACAUCAGUGUAACGAACGUAAGAGUAUCUUAAUUAAACAAAACUUUUAACAACGGAUCUCUUGGCUCUCGCAUCGAUGAAGAACGCAGCGAAAUGCGAUAAGUAAUGUGAAUUGCAGAAUUCAGUGAAUCAUCGAAUCUUUGAACGCACCUUGCGCCUUUUGGUAUUCCGAAAGGCAUGCCUGUUUCAGUGUCAUGAAAUCUCAAUCUAAUAUGUUUUCUGAACAUGUUAGGCUUGGACUUGGGUGUCUGCCAGCAAUGGCUCACCUCAAAUGACUUAGUGGAACAUCCCACAUCAGUGUUAGACGUAAUAAGUUUCGUCUCUCCUUGUGGUGAUGACUGCUCAAAACCUGCCAUCGCGCACCUUUUGACUUUGACCUGAAAUCAGGUAGGGCUACCCGCUGAACUUAAGCAUAUCAAU